rnacentral:lncRNA from 1 species
AGCUGCUGUCCUUUCCUCAACAUUACCACCCGGCUGGGCAGCCUACCCUCGCAGCAACAGGUGUGCACCUUCCAAGCUUGCAACAGACCACAUUCAGAAGCUUCUUGAUUUCCUGGUGUUCUGGGAAUAUCUGGAUCAGAGAUUUCUCCAAGCCACUCUCCCCUUCAUCUCCUCCACCCCCAGGCCCCAACUCCUGCCCCUCCCACCCUGGCCCCUGUUCUCCCUGCCCACCCCCUACCCCACUGGAGUGGCCUUUCAUCAAACCUAAACCAAAGAAACCAACAGACCUUGCUGUCACCACUACUCCGGGACCUGGAAGUUGAAGCGAGGGAGAGACGGCGAAACACAGAAAGCAGAACGCCUUCUGUUCUUCCACACCACAGGGUUUGUGGACGUGGCCACUAUAAGAACUCGCACUGCGUGCUGAUUAUACUCCUCAGCAUAAUUAAUUUCUUAAACUUUUUAGAAUAAUUUAAAAUUUACAAAAAGUUGCAAAAAAUAAAAACCAGUAAACUCUU